UGGGGAAUAUUGCACAAUGGGCGCAAGCCUGAUCCAGCCAUGCCGCAUGAGUGAAGAAGGCCUUUGGGUUGUAAAGCUCUUUUAGUGAGGAAGAUAAUGACGGUACUCACAGAAGAAGUCCUGGCUAACUCCGUGCCAGCAGCCGCGGUAAUACGGAGAGGGCUAGCGUUAUUCGGAAUUAUUGGGCGUAAAGGGCGCGUAGGCUGGUUAAUAAGUUAAAAGUGAAAUCCCGAGGCUUAACCUUGGAAUUGCUUUUAAAACUAUUAAUCUAGAGAUUGAAAGAGGAUAGAGGAAUUCCUGAUGUAGAGGUAAAAUUCGUAAAUAUUAGGAGGAACACCGGUGGCGAAGGCGUCUAUCUGGUUCAAAUCUGACGCUGAAGCGCGAAGGCGUGGGGAGCAAACA
rnacentral:rRNA from 1 species